rnacentral:rRNA from 1 species
AUUGAACGCUGGCGGCAGGCCUAACACAUGCAAGUCGAACGAGUGGCGGACGGGUGAGCAAUGUCUGUGAAACUGCCUGAUGGAGGGGGAUAACUACUGGAAACGGUAGCUAAUACCGCAUACCAUCGGAUGUGUCCAGAUGUGCUUAGCUAGUAGGUGGGGUAAAGGCUCACCUAGGCGACGAUCCCUAGCUGGUCUGAGAGGAUGACCAGCCACACUUGAACUCGGACACGGUCCAGACUCGGACGCGAGGCAGCAGUGGAGAAUAGAGCAGAAGUGGCGCAAGCCUGAUGCGGCCAUGCCGCGUGUAUUAAGAAGGCCGACGGGUUGUGAAGUACUUUCAGCGGGGAUGCGGUACCCGAAGAAGAAGCACCGGAUAACUCCGUGCAAGCAGCCGCGGUAAUUC